rnacentral:rRNA from 1 species
CCUGACAAACCCAAAAGUUCGAAUGGAGAUAUUCAUCGUCAGCGAUCCCGGCGAUGUGCGGUUCGCGAUGCCCGGGACUUCGGUCCCGCGGCACGCGUCCGUGUCAUUUUUUGCCGGGUGUCGUCGUCGUGCACUUCUCCCCUAUUAGGACGUCGCGACCCGUUGGGUGUCGGUCUACGACUCGGGUGGGUGCCCGUCAUGUGUUACGCUUCACGGCGUCAUGUGGCAGACCCCCGGUUGUCCGACCAGUUGCCCGGCGGUACUCGCACGGUAUUGAGUCGCAAAUUUGAACUGCGUCCGGCCCGCCGCAAGCGAGGCCAGUGUUUCCCGGAUGUACGGACUUAGCGCCGUCACCGGGCCUGGCCAGCUGUUGGCCGGCGGUGUCCUGGGACUGGCUCUACACAAAUACCGGUCGGCGACGCUACUGCUUUGG